UCGGGAAUUUUGGGCAAUGGGCGAAAGCCUGACCCAGCAACGCCGCGUGAAGGAUGAAGUAUUUCGGUAUGUAAACUUCGAAAGAAUAGGAAGAAUAAAUGACGGUACUAUUUAUAAGGUCCGGCUAACUACGUGCCAGCAGCCGCGGUAAUACGUAGGGACCAAGCGUUGUUCGGAUUUACUGGGCGUAAAGGGCGCGUAGGCGGCAAUUCAAGUCAUCUGUGAAAUCUCCGGGCUUAACUCGGAACGGUCAGAUGAUACUGCUUUGCUAGAGUGCAGAAGGGGCAAUCGGAAUUCUUGGUGUAGCGGUGAAAUGCGUAGAUAUCAAGAGGAACACCUGAGGCGAAGGCGGGUUGCUGGGCUGAUACUGACGCUGAAGCGCGAAAGCUAGGGUAGCAAACGGGAUUAGAUACCCGGGUAGUCCCUGAGCGGGCUGGCAAGGCGCAU
rnacentral:rRNA from 1 species